ACGUUGGCCGGAAGUAGGUUCAACCAUAGACACGGGUACGGGCACAUUGACAUAUUGUUGCGGAGGAACCUGUACAGUGUUAGAGUAGGGGAACGCAGUAAUUAAUCGAAACUAGCUACGCGAAGGAAACUUUUCGAAUAAACUGUACGAUCAGAUCAGCUGCAAAUGCCUGCAAGAACAGCAUCUAAAGCCAAUGUAUAUAAAUAUAUGUAUUUAUAUGGACUGAAUAUAUAGGAAAAAGG